UACAGAGGUCCCGAGCGUUGUUCGGAUUCACUGGGCGUAAAGGGUGCGUAGGUGGCAUGGAAAGUUUGAUGUGAAAGCUCGAGGCUUAACCCUGAAAUGGCAUUGAAUACUGCCGUGCUGGAGGUUUGGAGGGGGACUGGAAUUCUUGGUGUAGCAGUGAAAUGCGUAGAUAUCAAGAGGAACACCAGUGGCGAAGGCGAGUCCCUGGACAACACCUGACACUGAGGCACGAAAGCCAGGGGAGCGAACGGG
rnacentral:rRNA from 1 species